UCCCACAAAGGUCUGAUGAGUCUUUGUAGUCGCAAACGCUCCGUCCCAAGAUGGCGGCCGCAGAUAUGCAUCUCACAAGCCAAAUGUAGCCCACCAAGCAAUUUACAGGUGUUUUUCCCCCACUAAAAGUUAUUUAAGUCAAAUGCCACCUUCUUAAAUCAUACAACGGAGUCAGCCUGUAGUUCUGUCUACAUGCAGCUGUGAGGAACUCAUAGAUAUAUGUAUAUAUCUAUGUGAGGAACUGGCAGGUGAUUAAUGUACACUCGCGCAAGGGAUUCACCACCUGUUCAAUCAAGGCACUAGCUAGCAACCUACCACGGGUGGAAAUGUAUAGAGUUUGAGAAUAUUUAGGGCCAGCUAAUUGAUGCCACCGAGAAAGUGAAUAUUUAAACAUUAAGAAAAACAACCGAAAGUGACAACAGAGAGAAAGGAGAAACCAGAGCUGGCUGAAGGUAAAAAUAAUGCGAAGUAGUUACAAAGCCAUUAGCAUGCUAAUGGUGCUGCCGCAGCUACAGCAAAGCUCAACACAAGUGGGAUGUAAAAAGAACCGUUUCUACACUGGCUUUCAUGAAACUUCUGAGGAGCAGAACGUCAAGACAAGUUGGAGAAAGACGUCGUAUGACGCUGGACUUUAACAAACCUUCAUAACUUGAUAAAGAAUGAACGAGCCGCUGACGUGUGAGAAGAGCUGCGCUGACAUGUUGGCCUCUGCAGUGCUUUUCUAUAGUGCCUGGGUUGCGGAUGGCCUUCAUGUCGGUGAGAACAACGUGUCUGUAGCUGCGCUCCAGUCCCUCCAUGAGCUCCAGGUAGUCGCUCACCUUGAAGCCCUGGAUUGGCUCCUCCUGCAGGUAAAAAGUAGAUAGUGCUGACGAGGACGUGACACAGUGAAUACGCAGUCAAAGACUCCACUGCAGUUAAGCUCCAGCCAGAACAACUGUAACAAGUAAUUUGCCUUUUCAAAUUUUAAUUUAGAGGAAAUAUAGAUAUACCACCUAGUGAGACAGGAUAAGUAUAGAGGGUUGCAAGUGUGUGAGCGAAUGUUUAAAAAAAUCCUCUACUGCAAUACCACAUCUGUCUGAGUGAAAUAAUUCCUUCACAUUGUUCCCACAGAGAAAGAAAGAUAAAGAUAAAGCCGUCGUGUGCAAACCGGAAUGUCUACAACUUUCAACAGUUCAGCUCAGGACGAGGAUUGUGUAAGUUUCUCUCACACGCUCUUGUCUCAAAGCUGUCUCUUGCAGCAGUAUCUGAUGCUACAGCUCAUUAGAAGAGCUUCCUCAGAUAAAGCCAACAUAACUGAUCUUUUAUUCACAAAAACUGUCAGCGGCGGCUCAUGGCGACGUUAACACUAGAGCUAUCAGCUGGAGACAAGACGGACUCAAAAGCUUAAUGAGUAAUGAUGAUGAGUGCUUCAUGUCAAGCCAUGCCUCAUUAACAACGCUGGUGUUUUAAUGUUGCUUUGGAUAUUGGUAGACACACAAGAGACCAACUUUAGACCUUUUGUGAAAUCUUUUGGGCCACUCUUCAAUUCAGCAUUAAUCUUAUUCACAGAGCAAAACUUAUUCCCAUGAAACAUGUUAGCUUCCAAAACAGGCCUCAUUUCACAGUAUAUUAGUAGCUAAACAUACCAUAGUGGUUUUGUGAAGAAAUUCUAAAUGUAGAAUCAUAGAAGACUGCUUAAUAUAAAAGUGGAGCUGAACAAUUCAGUAGAGAUCUUCUAGCAGCAACUGCAUAGGGCUUCUUAUAUAAAAAUCCAGACGAUUUAUUAUGAUAUAAUUAGGUAUUCUGAAUUUAUUACACUGCAAUAAGGGAGAGCUUUUUCAAAAGUUUUUUUUUUUUUUUUUUAACAAAGCAUUAUAGCACAAACUAAAUCUGUGCAGUUUACUGAUGUUAUUUUAAGAGCAGUACUCACAAAACAACCUCUCGAAUAUGGUGCCGAUGAGCUGCACCUGGGACUGGGUGCUACUUCUGGCUCCCUCAAGCAUGCAUGGUGUGACGGCGACUUCAGCCUAUUUUCUUUAUUCUGUUUUGUAUUAAUAUUAGACUGGUUCUCUUUAGCGUCCUACUCUAAUUUUCUCCCUUUUCUCAUCACGGACAAAGAGCCAGACUGUUAUUAAAAAUUCUAACUUUUGUAAAAGCUUAACAUUUUCAAAAAGUAGUCUAUAAGCACAACAGACCAUUUGAAGUAGCUCAGCUUGACCUAACAGUAAAAACGUUAAUAAAAACAAAAAAGGACACUAGCAAGCAAAGCUGAGCUGAAGUGUUUUUGGUUCCACAACUUGAAUGGCAAAACUACCAACCUGUUUUUGCAAGAAGUAGCUGCCUUGCUCUACAACGACAACACACCUGAAGACUCGCCUGCUGGCGUGUCACCCGACCACUAACGAAUGGACAACGCAUCAGGAUGUGACACUCACAACACUGUAUCUCACUCACACAUUACGCUAGAUUGGGUCAAUAAAUUAAUCCGCAGCUACUAUAUUUUGAUAACUGUUUGUCAUUUUUAUAAGUACAAAUUCCAAGUCAAGAGUUGCUAAAGAAGUACAACUAGAAACCAAUGAAGUGAAAACAAACGUGCCAGUUGGCCACCUGAAACUUGUACAACAACCCCGGAACA